rnacentral:lncRNA from 1 species
CCUCUCCCUGUCAUUUUGUCCUUUACUUUGAUUGCACACUGCAUCAAGUUAAAGCUCCCACCAACUGGAGAAAGAUACCAUGCUACAUCUUAUUUGUGUGCCAAUUGUGGAGCUCUCUUGGGGUUUCUGUAAGCGUUGGUCAUCUGGAAGGGACAGAAAAAUCUAGGCAACUAGGGUCUCUCUCACAUUCCACUUUCUCUAUAAAAAAAAAUCCCAAAAUUGGCUCUCCAGGACUGGAAGUGGAAGUAUGAGGUAUCCUUUUCUUUUUCCGGUAUUUUUUUUUAAAUUUCUUUAUUUCAUGCAUGGUGGAUUUCUCUUUGGUGAUUAUUGAAUUGCUUAUAUAUUUUCUUGGUAUUUAGGGUGAUCUAAUUUUUCUGGCUUUUCAAGAGCAGCGGCAUGAGGUACACUUUUCUUCUUUUUCUUUUUUUUUUUCUCUUUUUUUUUUCUUCUAAUUUUUAUGUAAUGGAUGCAGGUGGAUUCUCUGAGUAUACCUGGGAUAGUGAGAAAUUGGAGCUCAUCUGGGGCCAGAUCCAUUUGGAUUUUGGUGUCUGAUUGGAGGAAAAGAAAAUAAAAUAAAUUUGGGGUUUGUAUUGAUUUGAUGUUUGGUUUUAUUUAAUUUUUAUUCUUGCAUGUUUGCUUUUUCUGAAUUUUCACUGUUUGUUUUGUUAGUUGAAGAUUACGGUGUUUGAUUGAUUUCAAUGGGGUGAGUUGUUAAUUUGUCCUCUAUUUAUUCAUGUCAUUUUAUGAAUGCUUGCAUAAUCUGCAUCUCAUUUCACUAACUCUCUGGGUGUAUUUUUGAUAAAUUGUCACUGUUUUUUUCUGUUAAUUUUUAAGUCUCUGUGUGUGUUGUUUACCCCAGACUUUGGACAUCAACUUGUUCUGUUUUCUUGGUGGUUUGAUGCGUUUUGUGUUGUGUUUUUCGGUCAAUUGACUCAGUUCAUAUGAUUAAUUCCCAUCGUUUCCAUGCCAUAUUGGUUGAAUUUAUUUUAACUAUAUUUAUUUUUGUUGCAGCCAUAUCUCAUAUAAACAACAAGUAGAAGGUUUACAGGACAUUAACCAAUUAGUUGGGCUAUUAGUUCCUUUACUUUGUGAUGUCCCUGGUGUGAGUAAACAAAUGUUCAUGUACUUUAUAGUUAGGAGGAUUUAACGAGGCCUUUUCUAUGUGCUUUACUUUAUUAUGUUUUGAUAAACGGAGGUUCAACAACAGGUUACUGAAAUGAUCACUUAUAUAUAUAGCCUCCACCACAAAGUAAUUUCCUAAGAAAUGUGUAGUACUUUGUCUUCUGGGUUAGUGUUCUCUAAUUUAGAUUAGACAUUAAGGCUUUGAGCUUGGUAAGAUUUCUUUUCUUGAUGUACCUCAAUUUUUUUAUUCAUUGUUUUUCUUUUUGGAGUUUUCGAUUUACAAAUAAAUUCUACAUUUAAAUUCUCUUUUUGUGAUCCUUCAGAUUUUGUCUUUGUAAUCAGAUGGUUGAUAUCGCAAGACUGAUUUCAUUCUUCUUCACUUUCAAGAAGCACCGGUGUUUAUUGAAGGUAUAUAAUCUGUUUAGACAUUUAGUCUUCAAUGUAUCAAGUAUUUUGUGUUGUUAGUUUUAUGUUACUUUUGUUGCUGCCUGCCUUUUUUUUUCUUUCUAUUUUUUUCGUUUUUAUCCACUUCUCUUUCACAUUUGUGCAACCUAUUGUCCUCAGUUUAUAAUCUUUCGUUGGAUAAUCUGAUCGCCCAAUCUAUUCUCAAGCGAUAUCUUUGGUUUUAAACUGUUCUAACCAGUUUAAUCUUUAAAUUGUUCAAUGUUAACCCCAACAUUUUAUUUUCAUUCUAUACGCAUUGGAACCAAACUUAAUUGGCACUAAAAAUGUAUAAAGCCUUUAACUAUACCAUGAAUGCAAUGUUAGCCAGUAAAUAAUUAUAAAAGUAACUUUGUCAUGGGCUAUAAUCAUAUCCAUCAUCAUUCCAUGAUUGUUACCAACCUUUAAAAUCAAAUUUAGCAUCAGUAUGUUUUACCUCUGUUUCAAUCUUAACCAGUAGCGGCUACAAUUUUGUAUUAAUCACUGUUAUCAAUUGUUCUUAACAUAUGAUCAUCAGAUCCCAAUAUGUUGACCAUCGUUCUCCCUACCUUAUCGUAUGUGAAACGAUUAUAUUUACACUCACUUUUAUUCAUUGGAAACAGUAUUUGUGUCUCUCCAUAUCCAAUCCUUGGUGCAAAAUGUUUACAAUUUGACCUGUUUCAGUUUCCUACAGCCAAAUUGGAAUCAAUCUGAAAGAACUGCGCCUAUUCGCCGUCUUCAAGGUAUAACAUUGAUCACUCUCAACUUUUAAUUUCUUUUUCAACAUUUUUUCCUUUUGCAUUUCUAAAAAAACCUUUAUUCAAUAGAUACUGAUAUGGUCACUUACAGCAUAAAAAAACUUCAUCUUUUUUGUCAAUAUUUAAGUUUUUCUUAUUUUUCUUCAUGAACCAGGUCAGCCCAUAACUCUGUAACCAUCCACGUAUAUAACUUAUCCAUUUUGAUCAUUGUGGUAUCAAUACAAAUUUACUCUUAUUUUUGAGGUGGGAUUGGUCUUAAAACAGAAGAACCAAAAUUUAAUUGAUCCCAUUGUUCUGUACACAAAAAUUCCAUCGACCCAAAAACCUCACAUGGAAAACAAACGUAUUCACCUUUUUUUUUUUUGCUUCUCCUUAGUUUUUACCUAUUUUUUUCAUUUUUGUUUUCACAGUUUCCUUCAUGAUUAGGUUGAGCACACAGUUUUUAAACCUAUUAAACCAUAUUCGUUUUAAGUGUUUUGCUUCAUUAUUUAACAUUCAUUUGGAUUUGUGAUUGAUAUCAACUUGGUGAGGUUUUCAUUACUUGCAAAGCAUGUUUAGAGUAAUGCCUUUAAACUACGUCAAAUUUUCAAUGAAAAAUCUUGAAUGCCUCGACAUUUAUCCAAUGGAUAAAUUCAUUACAUUCUUUUCGGUGAAACACUAAAGGUCCUAUACGCCAGUCUCUUUUAUCAUCCUCAGCAAACUAUUCUUAUCAUUUUGAGCCCAACUUCAGACAGUCUGCAUUUACUAAUGAAACGAUUGUUUGUUGACAGUUUGACCCUAAUACCUCUAGAAAUUAUCUAUGCAUGGACCACUACUGUAACCCGUUCUCAACCGAUGAACUUCAAACGAUGGUGCGUGUCGCGUCAUUUUUCCUUCCUCACUAUUUAUUUAGCUAUUACAUAUCCAAUCGUAUUGAUUCCUACAGAACAAUGUUUACUUUUCCCGCAACCUCUUAACUUUACAAUGUUUUACAAUUUCUUUCCUGCUGCAUUAUAAUAGAAAUGUGAAGAAUAAAGUCAAUUUAAACACCUAAUAUCUAUCUAUGUUCUUCAUUGUCCCAUAAG